GCAGCUUGGAAAGGAAGGAAAAGCAGGAAACUCCUACGCACCUGGAUGUGGUUUGUCUGUGGAAAGAUGCACGAUUGGCAUUUAUCCGCCUCACGAACUCUGCAUCUGUAAUAUGUUGCAGGAGUCUGAGCGGUUUAUUAUUUAUCACUGACGUCACACUGAAGUAACUGAGGUGUAAUCUGGACAGUGGAUGGAUUCAUUUCAACAUUAAAUCAGGCCAAGCUCUUGUGUAAAAUGGCAAUAAUUCCCCCGACUAAUGUAUGUAUGGGAGGCUGAGAGAGCGUUGGGUGAGGAAGAGGGGGGGAGUUGUGGGGGGGGGUCUCCAUACCAGCCGAGAAUACUAAAGAGGUUUUCUUUCUCUGAGGCCACUUCUUUAGUGACGCUGCAGAUGAAGCGGAAUGCAGAGUGGCUUUUAAAAAAUGAUUUUACACUAAUCCUCCCUGUGGGUUAUGAAUUAAUAACCUUUAGCCCGGAUGGAUGCCACUGUUAUCCACCUCCUGCUGUGCAAAAGCCAACUGACUAAGCGCACGCUUCAUCGGGCCCUGAUGCCUUUGAUCCCCAUUAAGCACUGGGCCACUGUAACAAAGGAGCUACUGGUGGUACUGGAACCCAGUGCGCGUGCACCCGGUCACUCCACUGAGCAACUCGCUGUUUUAGUUCUCAUGGAUUUAACUUUGUCUUAUAACGUUGCUUCAAUGACGCCGCGUCUCAUCAAAGCAGCUGCACGUCAGCUUGUGUUGAGGAACUCACUCGAACACGUGGAAGCGGUUGGUCUGGAGCGGCGGUCCGUGUCCCUCGCAGGCCGAGCUGGAAUGCAGGAAAGCGAGAAGCUGGCCGGCGGCUGCACUUCUUCCAGGGUGGAUUCGGAACGAAGCUGACGUGAGCCACAUGACAAAAGGCCGAGGAGAGGAAGGAGGUGGAAGGCAGAAGAACGCCUCUCACUCUUCGAGCAGAAUUCAGACACAAACCAUAAAUGUGCAUGAAGAACCUCUUCAGAAUGUGUAGGACACGAUUCUCCUUAAAGCCGAAUGCAAUAUGCUCAGGAGAACAUUUGCUGUAGAAAAAUAAAAAAUCCAGGUGUCAAUAACAUCUUCAUCAAAUAUCAUCUUUGUUGUUGCCUCCCUGGAUCAGUGAGGGAUUAGAGGGAGAUUAGCUCGUGGUCCUGUCCCACCUUCCGUCUGUCUCACACUGAUCUCAGGAAGAUGAUUGCUUCUAGUUUGGAAGUAGACGGGAAGGCGGAUGUGUUUGUCUUUCACAUAUUCCCACCUUAACCUGAAUCUCUCCAGAGUACUUCAGCGAGGCCUCUGUCUUCUGUCGCAUCCAUCAGCGUUCUAUAGAGGGAGGAAACAUUAUAUCUUCUAGUCCACAAGGUGUGAGAAAUGUCCUAAAGUGUUAACACGGGUUUUUUCAGCAGGGGGAUGUGAAUUGAAAGGACACAUCACAAAGCAGCUCAUUGUGAGUGCCAGUUGUUUGGAUCUUGUCAAUGUGUGAAAGAGACCAAGGGCGAAAGCGGAUGAAAAGAAGUUUGUACCAAGCAGUUUCCACAUUGUUCAUCCAGACUUUCUCAUCACAAACAUCGCGGAGCGUCAGCUUCCACAUAAAGAGCAGACGACCUUCGCCUGUGACGCUUUAAUGCACAGUCUUUACUUUUCGUAAAUGCAAUUUACUUAAGAUAUACAUGUUUAAAAUAGUUUACAAAUGUAUAGUUUAAUUUCAGGAGAUAGAGAUGAAUACACAACAGCUGGUGAGUGUGGGUUAUUUUUGCCAAACGGAAGUAAAUGGUGCAUUUAAGCAUCAAAUACAUUAUUUAACCUUCAUUAAAACCAGGAAAGUCUCACUGAAAAAGGUGCAUUCACAGAUACAAUGUGAACUUCUGGGUAUAGGAAUUACAUAUAUUUAAUUUGAUUAUUUCAUGAUAUUUAAUCCAAACACACUGUCGGGAAUUCUGUCUUCACCUGUAUGUUCAGUCACAGCUCAUGGCAUCGAGGCUGUGGUUUGACAGUUGGUGGGUUUCAAAGAUUUUUUUGGCUUUCCCCAAGUCCUUAAAGAGGAAAACAAUCGCUGCGCAGAAGUCCUGCUUCAGGACAGCUUUGUCUCAGCAGGACAAAAAAUACACAAAACCUCAAAUCAUAUAUCUGAAGAAAGAGGCUUUACCUGGGAUUCAAGGUAGAUCCAGUAAUGUAAAAGAAAAUACAAGAUAAUAACCACUAAUUUCCAUUAAAGUGCACGUGGGAGGCAGUCAUGUGAACGCGUGUUGCUCUGGAGAACCUUUAAGAAUCAGUGUCCCCUUUCAGUGUGGCUGCAGUGUUGAGUUUUCCCACUAAUUUUCUUUUAUUAACGCAACAGAAGCCAGUUAAAUUACGUUUUAUGUGCCCGUUUUGCAUAGAAAGUUGUGAAACAUUUUUUUUCUACUUUCAUGUGCUUGUUUCUAAACUGACUUCCAUGAAAUAACUGUUAUAAAUAAAUAAUAAACUGAACCAGUGGAAAAUAGUUGUGCUUCAACAUCAAGUCAAGCUCAAUACCGCCACCAUGUGGACCGCGAAGGCACUGCGGCCAACGUGGGAUGGUUUUGCCUGGUUACGUUUCUUUCCCUUAGUUCUUAAAAAUAACUUGUUGGAAGGAGUUUAACUUUAACUAGCACUGCCUGCUGGUUUCUCUACUGCUAGUAGUUCUAGUAAUGUAGACCUAUUCCUUCCCUAAUCUGCAGGGACUUUUUAUGAAGUAUUAGGAUUUUGUACAUAAGGCACUGGCACUUUAUGUACUAUACUAUUUAUUGUGAUUAACUAAUUUUCUUAUCUAGCCAACUGCUGUGACUUAUUUUGACUUCAUAUUUAAAAUACAAGAACAUGUUCACUUUCAUACUCUACUAAAUAUUUGUUAUACCAUGCUAUGUUUCACAACAUAGUAUAACUUACAAUGUACUUUACUUUUUAUUUUUCAUGUCAUACUGUAGCUUUUUGGAAAAACUUUUAUAAUACGCUAUACCAGUUUUUUAUAACUGGAUAUUUGCCUGACCCCCCUGAAGUAGUGAGCUUUAUUUUGUUAUAUAAAAGCAUUGAGCUGCAUUGUGGAAAUGCUGGUUAUCUGGCAGAAUAAUAAAGACGACCGCCUAUCACAUCAGUAUUUUUCAAAAGAUUUAUUGAACAAAAGUAUUUAAAUUGGCACCGCGUUGUCAGUACCAUUGUUUGAUCUCGAUUCAUAUAUGCACCUAAUAUUUUUUUUAUAUAUACAUACAGUGGAGACGAAUUAAAUAGCAUUGCUCAAUAACAUUCAGAGAUAUCAUAUAAAAGCUGAGAACCCCAUGAUCAACAACACUUCCAUUGGUAAACAAAUGCACGAAAGAAAAGAGGAAAAGACAAGUAAAAUAUUUCUUCUCCGUAAAUCAGAUUUGUACAUUUGGUUUCUUGCAGUAAAAGAUGACUCCGAUUGACUGUUAAGCCUAGGUCCCUUAUUUUCGGUUGCAGCUUAAAAUGAAGUUAAUAGCAGUUCACCAGAGGACGCUGGUAGACGAGUCUUAAACAUCGUGUCAAGCAGUCGAAAUCCACUGUAGCUGGAAGAUUUGAUUAGUUAAUCAAUAUCUUGUACACUGACAUGUCGUGUCAGGGUAACAGUUGCUAAGCUGUCAUUGGACAAUUGCUGUCUUGACAACGCGAUCAGAGGACAAUUUUCACAGAUCGCCAAAAUGAUAAAGUAUUUCCAAACUGUUUGACAUAUAAACGGCAGUGAGUGAUGUUUCGGCAUUAAUUGUUUGCGUCUCAGCCAAACACUUAAUUGUGGGGAAAGAAUCAUUUAUUUUUUACAAUAGAUUUUUCUGUGAAAUGACAGCCAGAGAUAUACUUAAACAAUACAAACGAUGGGAUCCUAUUUUAUAACGGCAUUCAUUCUGAUUGCAAAGUGUUAUCAAAAUGUCUUUUCAUUCCUUGAGUCAGACUCGUCACGUAGCUUCUGGACCUACAGAAAGAUGCCCAGUGUGACAAUAUAAAGCAUGAGCACAGAGCUACAGAUGAACGCCAUGUGUGGUGAGUGCAGUGCAGACCAGCGCUAUGGGAACAGGGCGGCACAUUUGGUUACGUUGAAAAACAUUCAUCUCUACAGAAAUUCACAGGUCUCCCCUAUUGCAUUAAUGCCCCCCCCCCUUCUCUACGGUCUUUUAGAAA